GAUGAACGCUGGCGGCGUGCCUAAUACAUGCAAGUCGAGCGAACAGACGAGGAGCUUGCUCCUUUGACGUUAGCGGCGGACGGGUGAGUAACACGUAGGUAACCUACCUAUAAGACUGGGAUAACUUCGGGAAACCGGAGCUAAUACCGGAUAAUAUUUCGAACCGCAUGGUUCGAUAGUGAAAGAUGGCUUUGCUAUCACUUAUAGAUGGACCUGCGCCGUAUUAGCUAGUUGGUAAGGUAACGGCUUACCAAGGCAACGAUACGUAGCCGACCUGAGAGGGUGAUCGGCCACACUGGAACUGAGACACGGUCCAGACUCCUACGGGAGGCAGCAGUAGGGAAUCUUCCGCAAUGGGCGAAAGCCUGACGGAGCAACGCCGCGUGAGUGAUGAAGGUCUUCGGAUCGUAAAGCUCUGUUAUUAGGGAAGAACAAACGUGUAAGUAACUGUGCACGUCUUGACGGUACCUAAUCAGAAAGCCACGGCUAACUACGUG
rnacentral:rRNA from 1 species